rnacentral:misc_RNA from 1 species
CGUUCUGCUGGAUUACCAGCUGUCGCGACUUUUGAGAGCUCCGUAGCUCAGGAUUACAGUGCGCGAUUAUUAUUUUGACAAAAUAUGUAAAUUUGCUCUUUAAUCAGCUAUUCGAACCUUCCGUGGUGUAGCUGAUCGUCUACCGCGCUAGAAUAGGGAUUAGAAUUAGUUUCCGUGCGUAGAUUACGUGAAAUAUGUAGGUUUUGUCCGACAAAAGUCCGCGGAGUGCGCUGUAGGGACCUUGUUAGGUUUUAAAAUAGGAAGUGUGGUGUACUAAUUACCUUUUUCUUACAGGCAUCGUUGGAAACAGGUCUGAGAUCAUCAGAUCUCAGACGACAGGUGCUGUUGUUCCCGGAGGAGGGCUGGGCCCGC